rnacentral:rRNA from 1 species
CUAUCAUGCAAGUCGAGCGCGGGAAGCGAGUGGAUCCCUUCGGGGUGAAGCUCGUGGAACGAGCGGCGGACGGGUGAGUAACACGUGGGCAACCUGCCUGUAAGACCGGAAUAACCCCGGGAAACCGGGGCUAAUGCCGGGUAAUACUUUUCUUCGCAUGAAGGAAAGUUGAAAGAUGGCUUCUUGCUAUCACUUACAGAUGGGCCCGCGGCGCAUUAGCUAGUUGGUGAGGUAACGGCUCACCAAGGCGACGAUGCGUAGCCGACCUGAGAGGGUGAUCGGCCACACUGGGACUGAGACACGGCCCAGACUCCUACGGGAGGCAGCAGUAGGGAAUCUUCCGCAAUGGACGAAAGUCUGACGGAGCAACGCCGCGUGAACGAUGAAGGUCUUCGGAUCGUAAAGUUCUGUUGUUAGGGAAGAACAAGUACCGUGCGAAUAGAGCGGUACCUUGACGGUACCUAACGAGGAAGCCCCGGCUAACUACGUGCCAGCAGCCGCGGUAAUACGUAGGGGGCAAGCGUUGUCCGGAAUUAUUGGGCGUAAAGCGCGCGCAGGCGGUUCCUUAAGUCUGAUGUGAAAGCCCACGGCUCAACCGUGGAGGGUCAUUGGAAACUGGGGAACUUGAGGACAGAAGAGGAGAGUGGAAUUCCACGUGUAGCGGUGAAAUGCGUAGAUAUGUGGAGGAACACCAGUGGCGAAGGCGACUCUCUGGUCUGUUUCUGACGCUGAGGUGCGAAAGCGUGGGUAGCAAACAGGAUUAGAUACCCUGGUAGUCCACGCCGUAAACGAUGAGUGCUAGGUGUUAGGGGGCUUCCACCCCUUAGUGCUGAAGUUAAC